AUGUAUGUUGAUGACUUCUCCAUAAAUGAGAUUUCUUUUGUCCUUAGAAACCAACUUGAAGACUUCAUUGCUCAUCUGAGAGCUGAUUCAAGUUUUGUUAGUUGUAAUGACCUUGGUAGUCUUGCGGUGAAGAUGGUUCGGGCUGAUAGACACAUGGUUUUUCCUCUGGUAUAUCGUCUUAUUGAGUUGGCAUUGAUUUUGCAUGUUGCAACCGCAUCAGUGGAAAGAGCUUUCUCAGCUAUGAGUAUUAUCAAGACUGAGUUGAGGAAUAAGAUGGGUGAUGAUUGGUUGAAUUUUUCCAUGGUGUGCAAUAUUGAGCGAGAAAUAUUUGCAAAGGUUGAUGACGAUGCUAUUAUAUAUCGCUUUCAAUCCUAUAGAUCUCGCAAAGGAACUUUACCUCCUUGUAGUAGUAAGUUUUCAACUCUGUACAAUGUUGAUUGUUUCACUUGA
rnacentral:rRNA from 1 species